rnacentral:rRNA from 1 species
GGGGUGAGAAUAAAGCCUGAAACACUGCACUUACAAGCUGUGGACGCACAUUUCUUGGGGGACCGCGGACUUUUUGGAGAAGGGGCCAACGAGUUAGGUUAAGGAGAAAGGUUAAGCACUUAAGGUGCGUAGCCGUAGCGAAAGCGAGUUUUAACUGAGCGUUCAGUUACUUGACGUAGACCCGAAACCGGGCGACCUACCCAAGAGCAGGAUGAAGCGAAAGUAAAAUUUCGUGGAGGUCCGAACCCACGAGCGUUGAAAAGCUCGGGGAUGACUUGUGGGUAGCGGUGAAAUUCCAAUCGAGCCCGGAGAUAGCUGGGUCUCCCCGAAAUAGCUUUAGGGCUAGCCUCAAGGGGAGAGAUACGGAGGUAGAGCACUGACUGUCCUAGGGGGUAUUGCACCUACCGAAGACUAGCAAACUCCGAAUGCCGUCAUCUUCUACUUGGGAGUCAGACUGUGGGUGAUAAGAUUAAUAGUCGAAAGGGCAACAGCCCAGAUCGUCAGCUAAGGUCCCUAAAUGUAAGUUA